UACGUAGGCAGCGAGCGUUGUUCGGAGUUACUGGGCGUAAAGAGCGUGUAGGCGGCCAGGUAGGUCUGCUGUGAAAACUCGAGGCUUAACCUCGAGAUGUCGGCGGAAACCAUCUGGCUAGAGUCCGGAAGAGGAGAAUGGAAUUCCCGGUGUAGCGGUGAAAUGCGCAGAUAUCGGGAAGAACACCCGUGGCGAAGGCGGUUCUCUGGGACGGUACUGACACUGAGACGCGAAAGCGUGGGGAGCGAACAGG
rnacentral:rRNA from 1 species